ensembl:lncRNA
GGGUCACCACUGUCCAGGUGCCAGACCGUGUCGUCACCCAGAUGGGGCAGAAGCAGGUCGGGUCAGUGACCUCAGCAGAGAGGGGGACCCUGGUCACAGUUGCCCUGGCAGGCAAUGCGCAGGGCGACCUUGUUCCGCCAUUCUUCAUCUUCCCCCGUAAGCGGUUCAAAGACCACUUCCUGGACCCGUUGGCUGUGCUGGCAGCGGCAACCCAACUGGCUGGAUGAAGGAGCCAGACUUCCUCCUGUACCUGGCCCACUUGACCAGGCACACCCGUGUGUCCAAGGAGUCGAAGCUGCUCCUCCUGCUGGACAAUCACCCGUCCCACCUGUCAAUUGCAGCAAUUGAUUACUGCAGAGCCAAUGGCAUAGUGCUGCUGUCAUUCCCUCCCCACUGCACCCACAGGUUGCAGCCAAUGGACAUUAGUGUCUUCGGCCCCCUAAAGGGGUACGUAAACAGUGCGGCGGACAGGUGGAUGAGGAGACACCCAGGGAUAAACAUCUCAAUUUAUGAUGUGCCCUCCAUCGUUGCUGAAGCCUUACCAAAGGCUGCGACAGUGAACAACAUUACCUCCGGGUUCUCAAGUCCAGGGAUCUGGCCUUUUAACCCCUCUGCGUUUGAGGAAAAGGACUUCGCCGGAGCCUAUUCCACAGACCGUCCUCCUCCCCAGGCUUCGGGUGACGAGGUCAGCGCUUCUCCAGGUGCCACUUCAGGCAUGGAUGUACCUGAUCGAGCUGCCGGGCCUGACGAAGCUGUCCGGCCUGAGGGAGAGGCUGUUAAGUUCAGCCCGGACAUCGUCCGGCCUUACCCUAAGGCCGGACCUAGAAAGAUCACAAAGAGAAGAGGGAGAAAGAGGACAACUGCUAUACUUACGGACACCCCGGUGAGGGCUGCUUUAGAGGCGGAAAAGCAGGGAACUGGGAAGCAGCGUCGUCCCGCCAAGCAGCCUCCCUCCUCUCGGGCUCCCAAGAAGAGGCUGUUCUCGCCCGCUCCUGAUGCCGGAGUUGCUGGAGUUGCCACCUCAGCUGCUCCUCCCACCAUAACCUGGCCCGCUGAUGGAGUCAGCCCCACCUUAGGCCUAGUUUGUCCUGUUCCGGAGGCAGCAGAGUUCACCACCAUUGCUGCCUCCACUUCUCCAAUUUAUUUAGGCCUAUCCAGCGAGGACGUCAGCUGCCUCGUGUGCUCCGAGCUCUUCAGCGCCUCGAUGCCUGGGGAAGAGUGGGUCCAGUGUGUCUUUUGUUAUAAGUGGUCGCAUGAGGCUUGCACCGACGGGAGUGCACACUACCUGUGUCACCUGUGUGACAAAGAAUACAAAUAUUCAGCCUACUAUACUGUCCAUGUGUCUGCACUAGUUUGCAGUGGAAAUACUGUAAAUGUAGGCCUACAGCACAAUUCACUUAACAUUCUAGACUGAUUAACUAACUAACUAUUAGGCCUGGGUUAGGCUAUGAGUGGGAGCUGGGCUAUUAAAUAUUUCGCUGGGUAGGCCUACUUUUCGUCCAUGAUUGUAACGCAUCCAAAAUAACAACGGCUACAUUAAAUUAUGACAAUAAUAAUUGAAUUUAGUGGACAUGCACACUUAAAAACUGCUGGGUAUAAGCUAUAGGCUAGCCUUCUACACCCUUGCUCUUGGUCAUGACACAUGGCAUGCCGAUUUAUCUUUUUCUCCAGCCAUUACCAUCAAUCAGCUAGAGUGCAAUAUUAAUCAAAGUUCUGCUUGUUAUAUGAUUUCAACAUAAUGUUCAUGUCAAUGUGCAGACUAUUACACAAUAUUUAUCAGAUAAAAUAAGUUUAGCCACUUACCUGUCCACAGAGACUCCGGAUGCUUCUGUGCGCCAGGCUGUCCGUGUCGAAAAGAAAUUAACCCUGUGCGGCGCUUGGAUACAUUUCCGCUGUAACAGGUCUCGUGAUAUCCUGUUGACCUGGUCGUUUUUGUUUAAAAUAAAUAAAAGGAUGUUCAACUGUGUAUCCUUAAACAUGACUUAGGACAGGGAAAUAAGUAAAUUUAAUGAAAAUGUAGUCGUCCAAAAGAAGAAAGGUGAGUUUUAAUCGAAAUGUGCAUCUUGAUAAUUACGCACGGGCCAAAAAUAUAUUUUGACCUAUUUAUAUGAUGCGGAAUAAUGUGAAAUUUUAGCAAUGACGAGUAAACUAGUAUGUUGUCUAGUAUGUUGCAUAAAAACAAGAGUAAGGGCAAUAGAUUAUUUUUAAAAUAUGCUGUUUCAAUCGUCCCACAUGUGUGUUUCAAACGUCCCUAUUAGGCGGGGCGUUUGAAACAAAUGUCAACUUACGUUCAAAGUUAAAAAACAGCUCGAUCGUCCAACAUAUGUAUUAAAUUUCACUUGUAACUAAGAGAACACACCUGUGAGUUGUUGAUCACAUGUUAAAAUUAUUUGUAUACGUAACGUCAUCUUUGAAAAAGACGUUUAACUGAAAAGUGUUUCAAUCGACCCGGCUCUCCCCUGCUAGAGGAACGCCGUAUUUUACGCGCGUUUUGAUGUUCAAAACGCGCGUAUUUUACGCGCGCUCUUGAAAGGCUUAAUUGCGGCGUAAAAAGCGGCGCUUUUUUGCGCAUGACGGCGUAAAAUACGCUGUUUUUCUACAUUUUACGGCGUAUUUUACG